rnacentral:rRNA from 1 species
UACGUAGGGUGCGAGCGUUGUCCGGAAUUAUUGGGCGUAAAGGGCGCGUAGGCGGGGAGGUAAGUCGGGUGUGAAAUCCCUCGGCCCAACCGAGGAACUGCGCCCGAGACUGCUUCUCUUGAGUCCCGGAGAGGAAGAUGGAAUUCCCGGUGUAGCGGUGAAAUGUGUAGAGAUCGGGAGGAACACCGGUGGCGAAGGCGGUCUUCUGGACGGUGACUGACGCUGAGGCGCGAAAGCGUGGGGAGCAAACGGG